UGGCUCAGUGGUCAAGAGCACUGGCUGUUCUUCCAGAGGACCUGGGUUCAAUUCCCAG
rnacentral:tRNA from 1 species